GGCGAUCAGAUACCGCCCUAGUUCUGACCGUAAACGAUGCCAACUAGGGAUCCGCCAGUCGACUCAUCGCUCCUGGUGGGGAGCUUCCCGGAAACGAAAGUCUUCCGGUUCCGGGGGAAGUAUGGUUGCAAAGCUGAAACUUAAAGGAAUUGACGGAAGGGCACCACCAGGAGUGGAGCCUGCGGCUUAAUUUGACUCAACACGGGGAAACUCACCCGGCCCGGACACCGUAAGGAUCGACAGAUUGAUAGCUUUUUCAUGAUUCGGUGGAUGGUGGUGCAUGGCCGUUCUUAGUUCGUGGAGCGAUUUGUCUGGUUUAUUCCGAUAACGAGCGAGACUCUGGCCUACUAAAUAGUUGACGCAUUGCCACUGUGCGCACAACUUCUUAGAGGGAUUUUCGGUGUUUUCAACCGCACGAAAUUGAGCAAUAACCGGUCUGUGAUGCCCUUUAGAUGUCCGGGGCUGCACUCGCGCUUACACUGGUAAACGCAACGUGCCUGUCCUGCCCCCGAAAGGCAGCGGGUUAUACCCCUGAACUUUUGCCGUGAUUGGGGAUUGGGACAUUGCCAACUAUUGUCCCGUGAAACGAGGANNAAUUCCUUGUANGGGGCGAGUCAUCAACUCUUCCCGAAUACGUCCCUGUUCCCUUUGUAA
rnacentral:rRNA from 1 species